ACGUAGGGGGCUAGCGUUGUCCGGAAUCAUUGGGCGUAAAGAGCGUGUAGGCGGCUUGGUAAGUCCGCUGUGAAAGUCCAGGGCUCAACCCUGGAAUGCCAGUGGAAACUGUCAAGCUAGAGUCCGGAAGAGGCGAGUGGAACUCCUGGUGUAGCGGUGAAAUGCGCAGAUAUCAGGAAGAACACCAAUGGCGAAGGCAGCUCGCUGGGACGGUACUGACGCUGAGACGCGAAAGCGUGGGGAGCAAACAGGAUUAGAUACCCUGGUAGUCCACGCCGUAAACGAUGGGCACUAGGUGUGGGGGGUGUCGACUCCCCCCGUGCCGACGCUAACGCAUUAAGUGCCCCGCCUGGGGAGUACGGCCGCAAGGCUA
rnacentral:rRNA from 1 species